CAAACACUUUAUCAAACAAACAAACAAACAAACAAAAAAUAAACAACCAGUAGUGAACCGACUUCUUUUAUUUUCAUUUUUGCUGAUUUUUUUCUCUAUGUACAAAUGAUUCUCUCUCUC
rnacentral:ribozyme from 1 species